UAAGGGAUAUUGGUCAAUGGGGGCAACCCUGAACCAGCCAUGCCGCGUGAGGGAAUGAGGCCCUACGGGUCGUGAACCUCUUUUGACCGGGGACAAAGUCGCGCUCGUGAAGCGCGGGUGAGGGUACCGGUGGAAUAAGCGUCGGCUAACUCCGUGCCAGCAGCCGCGGUAAUACGGAGGACGCGAGCGUUAUCCGGAUUCAUUGGGUUUAAAGGGUGCGCAGGCGGCCGGCCAAGUCAGCGGUGAAAGCCCGGGGCCCAACCCCGGAAGUGCCGUGGAUACUGGCUGGCUGGAAUGCGGUCGAGGCGGGCGGAACGUGGCGUGUGGCGGUGAAAUGCGUAGAUAUGCCACAGAACGCCGGUAGCGGAGGCAGCUCGCCAGGCCUGCAUUGACGCUCGGGCACGAAAGCGUGGGGAUCGAACA
rnacentral:rRNA from 1 species